rnacentral:misc_RNA from 1 species
GAAAUGCGAUAAGUAAUGCGAAUUGCAGAAUUCAGCGAGUCAUCGAAUCUUUGAACGCACAUUGCGCCCCUUGGCAUUCCGAGGGGCACACCUGUUCGAGCGUCAUUUCACCAGUCAAGCUCCGCUUGGUGUUGGGCCCUCACGUCCCCGGUCGCCCGCCCAGGGCGCGCGGGACGGGCCCCAAAGACCUCGGCGGCGCGGUCCUGCUCCGGGCGUAGCAGCAUACAACCUCGCUCGUGGGGCCAGGACCGGCGCUUCAGCCGCCAAAGUGGGAAAAGGGGGGGCGUCGCUUCCCCCUUCCCCUCUCUCCAGGUUGACCUCGGAUCAGGUGGGAAUACCCGCUGAACUUAA